rnacentral:rRNA from 1 species
UACAGAGGGUGCGAGCGUUAAUCGGAAUUACUGGGCGUAAAGCGUGCGCAGACGGUCACGUAAGUCGGGUGUGAAAGCCCCGGGCUCAACCUGGGAAUUGCAUUCGAGACUGCGUGGCUAGGGUGCGGAAGAGGGAAGCGGAAUUUCCGGUGUAGCGGUGGAAAUGCGUAGAUAUCGGAAGGAACACCAGUGGCGAAAGCG